rnacentral:rRNA from 1 species
CCUACGGGAGGCAGCAGUGAGGAAUAUUGGUCAAUGGGCGAGAGCCUGAACCAGCCAAGUCGCGUGAGGGAGUAAUGCCCUAUGGGUUGUAAACCUCUUUUGUCGGGGAGCAAAAGCCGGACGUGUCCGGCUGUGAGAGUACCCGAAGAAAAAGCAUCGGCUAACUCCGUGCCAGCAGCCGCGGUAAUACGGAGGGUGCGAGCGUUAUCCGGAUUUAUUGGGAUUAAAGGGUGAGCAUGCGGGCUUUCAAGUCAAGGGUGAAAUCCCCGGGCUCAACGUGGGAACUGCCUUUGAAACUGGCAAACUGGAGUGUGUGAGAGGAGAGUGGAAUUCCAGGUGUAGGAGUGAAAUGCGUAGAUAUCUGGAGGAACAUCAGGGGCGAAGGCGACUAUCUGGCACAUAACUGACGCUGAGGAGCGAAAGCGUGGGUAGCAAACAGGAUUAGAUACCCGUGUAGUC